GAGAGGUUCGGGUGCCAGCAGCGGGAGGGUUAGCGGGAAGGCCGGGUUCCCUGCCCUGGCCUCGGAGGAGGAGCCACCACCCCUGGGGUGAUGCUACUUUCACAGACUGGAAAAUACUCGCCAGCUCCCUGACACACACUUAGACACACUUCCAUCCAACGGGCAUCUACGAUCCCCUGUAGGGAGAGCUUGGAAAUCUCUGCCGCCUCUCCCUCCUCAUUCCUGUUCCUGCGCCCGCCCAAACAACCGCGCGCUACAUCUGCUCGUUGACUUUAUUGGUGUUUGUCUUGUUUAAAUCAUUCUGCCUCGUCACCCAGGUCUCGUAAAGAAUACCCACACUGGACAGAUUUUAUUUUUUCGGCUUUAAAUUUUUCUUUGAGGGGAGGCCCUUAAAUGUGUAUGGAUACGUCAGGCGAGCUGAAGACUAAGCAAAUCCCAGCAGCGGCCCUUUCUCUCUUUCGAGAUGGUAAAAAUUCUCCCCAAAUACCUACAGUCCGUCUCAGUCGUCUUAAUCCUAGCCGGGCCUCUUCGUUUACAGCCACUGAAAUAAAUGAGUAAAUGGCUCAGUUCAAAAACACAACCAGACCUGAGAUCUGAUGAGGCCGGCUGCGGUGGUCGUGAAUGAAAAUUGGAGAAGCCUUGCUUCAGGAAAUAGGGACAGUCAAGGGACACAAAGUCAAAAGGAGAGAUGGGAAAGCUGGGGACACUUUGGUACACAAAGUUGCCAUUAAAGUUUAUUUCCCUUUUAUCCAGAUAGGUGACGCUACACUUUGCCAGUUACUAAAGGCUGCAGGUUUCUGCUCAGAAAAUAAUAUCGAGGUUUCCAACAUGUGUUUA
rnacentral:lncRNA from 1 species